UCCGUAGGUGAACCUGCGGAAGGAUCAUUAAUGAAUGCAGAUGCCUGUCGAGCUUGCUCACGGGCUUUCUAUCAUAUCCAUAACACCUGUGCACUUGUUGGAUGAUCUAAAGACGUAGGGUAAAACCUAAAGUCAAUAGUCAUCCACUUACACUAAACAAUAAUGUAACAAAUGUAGUCUUAUUAUAACAAAAUAAAACUUUCAACAACGGAUCUCUUGGCUCUCGCAUCGAUGAAGAACGCAGCGAAAUGCGAUAAGUAAUGUGAAUUGCAGAAUUCAGUGAAUCAUCGAAUCUUUGAACGCACCUUGCGCUCCUUGGUAUUCCGAGGAGCAUGCCUGUUUGAGUGUCAUGAAAACCCUCAACCUUAGAUUGGUUAUUUGACCUUUCUUUGGCUUGGAUUUGGACGUUUGCCGAUGUCAAGUCGGCUCGUCUUAAAAGUAAUAGCUGGAUCUGUCUCGCGACAUGGUUUGACUUGGCGUAAUAAGUAUUUCGCUAAGGACAUCUUCGGAUGGCCCUGUUGCAGGACUAAAGACCGCUUUCUAAUCCAUUGAUCUUCGGAUUAAUAUUCAUAACAUCUGGCCUCAAAUCAGGUAGGACUACCCGCUGAACUUAAGCAUAUCAAUAAGCGGAGGAA
rnacentral:rRNA from 1 species